AGGAGGCCUGGAGAGGGACAGGGCAGGUCCCUUUCCCCACAGCUGAGCAGUGAGCAGUGCCCGGCCUGUCUCUAACAGGGUUUCAAGGUCCUGUCCUCCUCAGAAGGACCCAGUCCACCUCUCUAUACAUCAGCUCUGGGCACAGGGGAAGCAAAUGGCCUUGGGCCUCAGGGCCAAACUGUCUACCUAGCAUUGUUGCAGAGAGACCUGGAAAGCCUUAGAAAUAACCAGAUUCCAGGCCACCUGCUCCUUCCAGGAUCAGCCCAUCCUCUGCCUAUGCUGGGGUCUCACUAGGUAGCCCAGGCUGGACUCAACGGCGAUCCUCCUAACCUGAUCCUCCUGAGUACUGGGAUUAUAGGCAUAAACUACCAAACCCAGCUUCAACCCAGACCUCUGAGCUCCACAGCCUGAGCAUCUUCUCGCCAUGCCACCCUGCCUCUCUCUGAUGACCUCUUGUUCCCUGUCUCUUGGGUCUCUGGGCAUCAGAGGGUUGAUACUCAGGCCACCACGUGGACAGACAUACUGAAGGCCCUGCCGUGCAGGAAGGGGUUAAUUGGGAUGCCCUCAGCAAGCUCCGGUUUGGUGGAAGGCCGGUUGCCAUAGCAACAGCAAGGAUUGGGGACAGGGAAGCCAGCACAGCAGGAUCUUCUGAAUCAGUGGAUGGAUGUACAGCCCAUAUGUUUAUUCUGCGGUGAAAGCCUCCCAGCUUCUGGGACUGCACGUGGCCCUCAGCAGUAGCUGUGCUGCGCAGGGGUGCAGGCAGGGUUUCCUGAAUGGGCAGAGGCCAGGAGGCCUUGGCUCUACCUCUCACCCCAGGGGUCCCACAAGCUCUGUUGAGGGAGACUUUUCUACCAGGAAGGCCCAGAGCUCUUGCUUUCAGCCGGCAGUAACCUGGACUAGGGAAAAACCAGGAGAGUGGAGAUCUGAGGCCAAAACCAAUCAAUCCAUCAUCAUUCACUCACCAGGCAGGCAUUGCCUGCUGACAGCACAGUCACUGGGCCAGAUGCUGCGACCUGAGUGAGAGCUGGGAGCCAGACAGGCUCUGCACUCCUGAUGCUUCACUUCUAGAAAGCCUGGAAGUCCCUACCAUGCUCCUGCCUUGGGCAAAUCCCUUUGCCUUUCAGAGGUUAUCUAUAAGAUGGGGUCAAACCAGGAA